UACGGGGGGGGGCAAGCGUUGUUCGGAAUUACUGGGCGUAAAGGGCUCGUAGGCGGCCAACUAAGUCGGAUGUGAAAUCCCCAAGCUUAACUUGGGAACUGCAUCCGAUACUGGAUGGCUUGAAUCCGGGAGAGGGAUGCAGAAUUCCAGGUGUAGCGGUGAAAUGCGUAGAUAUCUGGAGGAAUACCGGUGGCGAAGGCGGCAUCCUGGACCGGCAUUGACGCUGAGGAGCGAAAGCGUGGGGAGCGAACAGG
rnacentral:rRNA from 1 species